CCUACGGGGGGCUGCAGUGGGGAAUAUUGCACAAUGGGCGAAAGCCUGAUGCAGCGAUGCCGCGUGAGCGAUGAAGGCCUUCGGGUCGUAAAGCUCUGUCCUUAAGGAAGAAUAAUGACGGUACUUAAGGAGGAAGCACCGGCUAACUACGUGCCAGCAGCCGCGGUAAUACGUAGGGUGCAAGCGUUGUCCGGAAUCACUGGGCGUAAAGAGUUCGUAGGCGGCCUAUCAAGUCAGGUGUGAAAGGCAUUGGCUUAACCAAUGUAAGCACUUGAAACUGUUGGGCUUGAGUGUUGGAGAGGAGAGUGGAAUUCCUAGUGUAGCGGUGAAAUGCGUAGAUAUUAGGAGGAACACCAGUGGCGAAGGCGACUCUCUGGACAAUUACUGACGCUGAGGAACGAAAGCGUGGGGAGCAAACAGGAUUAGAUACCCUGGUAGUC
rnacentral:rRNA from 1 species